rnacentral:rRNA from 1 species
GCACGUAGGAUUCGAACGUUAUCCGGAUUUACUGGGCGUAAAGCGCGUGCAGGCGGUUUGGUAAGUUGGAUGUGAAAGCCCCAGGCUCAACCUGGAGAGGUCGUUCAAUACUGCCAGACUAGAGGACGGUAGAGGGAGGUGGAAUUCCGGGUGUAGUGGUGAAAUGCGUAGAUAUCCGGAGGAACACCAGUGGCGAAGGCGGCCUCCUGGGCCGUUCCUGACGCUCAGACGCGAAAGCUAGGGUAGCGAACGGGAUUAGACACCCCGGUAGUCCUAGCUGUAAACGAUGUGAACUGGGUGUGGGUGGCGUAAAAACCAUCAGUGCCGCAGCUAACGCGAUAAGUUCACCGCCUGGGGACUACGGCCGCAAGGCUAAA